rnacentral:lncRNA from 1 species
UGAUUUUUCUAAAUUUUCCUGCGGAUAUUGAAACAUAUUUCACGUACCUAAAAAUACUUUAAAAAUUUAAAAUUGGUGUUAAAAUCCUUUUUCGGCCAAUUUCAGGAUUCCAGCACGACGACACUGCUGUGCUCCGGCAAUGGCACAGCCAUCCGCGGCGGCAAUUUGUCUCGGUUUGGCCGUUUUCGGCUGGUUUUGGUCAAUUUUAUACACAUUUCUGCGAGAAAACACGUUAGGGAGCUUCAGUUGGCCGAAAAAAAAUCAAAAAAUGGAAACCUACCGGCAGUGAGAUUUUUCAAUACGGCGGCUCCGCCGGCUCACCU